AAGGAGUCGUCUUCGUAUGCGAGUGUUCGGGUGUCAAACCCCUACGCGUAAUGAAAGUGAACGUAGGUGAGAGCUUCGGCGCAUCAUCGACCGAUCCUGAUGUUCUCGGAUGGAUUUGAGUAAGAGCAUACGGGGCCGGACCCGAAAGAAGGUGAACUAUGCCUGUAUAGGGUGAAGCCAGAGGAAACUCUGAUGGAGGCUCGCAGCGGUUCUGACGUGCAAAUCGAUCGUCAAAUAUGGGCAUGGGGGCGAAAGACUAAUCGAACCUUCUAGUAGCUGGUUUCCGC
rnacentral:misc_RNA from 1 species